rnacentral:rRNA from 1 species
GAUGAACGCUGGCGGCGUGCCUAAUACAUGCAAGUCGAGCGAACGGACGAGAAGCUUGCUUCUCUGAUGUUAGCGGCGGACGGGUGAGUAACACGUGGAUAACCUACCUAUAAGACUGGGAUAACUUCGGGAAACCGGAGCUAAUACCGGAUAAUAUUUUGAACCGCAUGGUUCAAAAGUGAAAGACGGUCCUGCUGUCACUUAUAGAUGGAUCCGCGCUGCAUUAGCUAGUUGGUAAGGUAACGGCUUACCAAGGCAACGAUGCAUAGCCGACCUGAGAGGGUGAUCGGCCAAACUGGAACUGAGAAACGGUCCAGACUCCUACGGGAGGCAGCAGUAGGGAAUCUUCCGCAAUGGGCGAAAGCCUGACGGAGCAACGCCGCGUGAGUGAUGAAGGUCUUCGGAUCGUAAAACUCUGUUAUUAGGGAAGAACAUAUGUGUAAGUAACUGUGCACAUCUUGACGGUACCUAAUCAGAAAGCCACGGCUAACUACGUG